UCUUUUCUGUUUAUCUACAUCUCUGUCAACCUUUGCUGAAGAUUUCACUUUGUAUCCAACGACCUGCGCAAGUUCCUCUUCAUGGUUUAAGCAAAAUUUCAAUCACAACUCCAUCUCUUCUUUAUUGUUUGCUGUUUCUCUGCAACCUUUAAAUCUGUCUCUCAACCUUUGCUCAAGAUUUCUGUUUCUCUCGGACAACCUGCGCAGUUUGUCUCCACCCUUUACAUUUCUCUUUGAACGUUUGCUGAACAUUUCAGUUUCUAUCAAAUGACCUGUACAGCAAAUUGCCUGCAACUGAACAGUACAAAUCCCGCUGAUACAGAACAGGCUGCAGGAUCUGCAGGAACUUCUUCAUUAUCAGCACCUUACAGGGAUUGCUUCAACUACCCACGCAAACCAUAUAUACAGGCUAGCCCAUCCACAAGAUUCACACACAUCUGACACCUCCUCACAGAUUACAGAUCUCAUAUCUAAAUUAGCUUUUCCUCAUAAAGAAUUCUGUUUGGUUGAAAGACUUCUAAUGGACCAUCAGAGGCACUUCUCCACAAAUAUUAAAAAUCUUAACAGAGAUUCUGAUUCUCUAAACAGUCGGUCAGAUUUAGCAGAGAUGCUUUUCUUGAAUAUCUCCAUCAGCACCAGAAGCUUUACUAUUCACUUCUACAACAUCAUCAUCCUUCGCUUCCAAAGCUUCUACCAUUUUUUAGAUCACUCAGACAUCGACAAUACCAUUUUUAGUUGUUUCUUCCUCCUUAAGUGAUACUCUACUUUCUAACUCUUUCAACUUUUCUAAAUACAACUUAGCUCUUCCCUGAACUUUAUCUUUCUCAUUUUUUAGCUCCUCAUUUUUCUUUUGCAUAUCCUUCAAUCAAUUAUCCAUCAAUUGAAGUGAUAUGUAAAGCAAAAAUGGGGAGGUAAAAAAUGAAGAAGCUAAAGUUCAGGCAAAAGUAAAGAUGUAUUUGCAAAAGUUCAAAUAGUUGGAAAGUACGGUCUCACUUCAACAAGAACAAGCUGCUAAAAAUUGUGCUAUCAAUGUCUCAUUGAUCCAAAAAAUGGUACAAGAUUUCAAAGCGGAGGACAAUGACAUUGUACAAGUGAAGACUAAAGCUUCUGCUGCUGAUGGAGAUGUUCAGGAAAAACAAUUGUCACCACCUACGCCUCCAUUAGUUAAUUCAGCUGCAAAUGGAAAUGGAAAUGACAGUGGUAAAUGAACAGAUAAAGCUGCAAAUGGAAAGGGAAAUGGCAGUGGCAAAUGAAUAGAUGAAGCUUCACCUUAAUGGAAGAGCAUAGGGUAUUUACAUUGUAUGACAUAACAUUAAUUCAAAGGUAAACACAAACUACCCUUUUAAAUUGCUCUCUCAACCUGUUAAAAUUAUUGUACUAGCUUCACA